AAUGAAUUGCCUGAUAAAAGGACUACUUUGAUAGAGUAGAAUAUAUAAUUUUAAAUUAUAUUCAUUA
rnacentral:tRNA from 1 species